rnacentral:rRNA from 1 species
UACCUGCAGCCCAAGUGGUGCUCGUUAUUAUUGGGUCUAAAACGUCCGUAGUCGGCUGAGUAGAUGCCCGGGUAAAUCGCAGCGCUCAACGUUGCGAAUUCCGGGUAGACCGCUCGGCUAGGGAGUGGGAGAGGUGCGAGGUACUCUGAGGGUAGGGGUAAAAUCCUGUAAUCCUUGGGGGACCACCAGUGGCGAAGGCGUCGCACUAGAACACGUCCGACGAUCAGGGACGAAGCCCUGGGGCGCAAACGGG